rnacentral:misc_RNA from 1 species
AAUUCUCAAGAUUGGGGGAUGCCUUUUUGAAGGUGACCGGUCCCCCAAGUCUUGGUCUUGGGCUCUGCCGUGCCCUUUAUUGGAACGGCUGGCCUUAAAAGUAUUAGCUGGCCCUCAUUAUGGGAAUUGGUUCUACUCAGCGUGAUAAUUAAUGCUGAUGACCGCCGAGGACAUCUUUUCCGAAGAUGGCCAGUUCUCAUUUGGGUUGCUUCUAAUCCUGGUUUACAGAUGCAUAUCUGUUCCAUGUUCGG